ACUCUAAAUGGAAGCACUGUCU
rnacentral:miRNA from 8 species